rnacentral:rRNA from 1 species
GACGAACGCUGGCGGCGUGCCUAAUACAUGCAAGUCGAACGCUGAAGGAGGAGCUUGCUUCUCUGGAUGAGUUGCGAACGGGUGAGUAUCGCGUAGGUAACCUGCCUGGUAGCGGGGGAUAACUAUUGGAAACGAUAGCUAAUACCGCAUAAGAGUUGAUGUUGCAUGACAUUUACUUAAAAGGUGCAAUUGCAUCACUACUAGAUGGACCUGCGUUGUAUUAGCUAGUUGGUGGGGUAACGGCUCAACAAAGGGACGAUACAUAGCCGACCUCCGAGGGUGGUCCGGCAAAAUGGGAACGGAGCACGGGCCAGACCUCUACGGGGAGGAGCCGUAGGGGAUUUUCGGGAAUGGGCGGAAGGCUGAACGGAGAACGGCGGGGGGGGGGAGGAGGUUUUCGGGUCCGAAAGAUCUGUUGUUAAGGGAGAAAGAGAGUGGGAGUGAAAAGUGCACACUGUGACGGUAUCUUACCAGAAAGGGACGGCUAACUACGUG